GGAAGGAUCAUUACUGAGUACCGGGUCUCUCAGGCCCUUACUCCCACCCUCUGUGUACCUUACCAAAUUUUAGUUGCCUUGGUGGGAACUCUGUUCUUUCCCUUGGGAUUUAAUCCUUUGGGCGCCAGAGCCCACCAUUGGAACUUUUUUAAACUCUUAUGAAUUGAGACGUCUGAGAACAAAAACAAAAUAAAUUAAAACUUUCAACAACGGAUCUCUUGGUUCUGGCAUCGAUGAAGAACGCAGCGAAAUGCGAUAAGUAAUGUGAAUUGCAGAAUUCAGUGAAUCAUCGAAUCUUUGAACGCACAUUGCGCCCUUUGGUAUUCCGAGGGGCAUGCCUGUUCGAGCGUCAUUUCAACCCUCAAGCUUCUGCUUGGUAUUGGGCUUCAUCCUGUCUAAAAGGAUGUGUCUAAAACUCAUUGGCGGUUGCACUUAGCUCCCUUGCGUAGUUAUAUUUUUUCCUCGCUUGGAAAUUUAGGUGUCAACCCGCCUGAGAACCCCCCAUAUUUCUCAAGGUUUGACCUCGGAUCAGGUAGGGAUACCCGCUGAACUUAAGCAUAUCAAUAAGCGGAGGAAAAGAAACCAACAGGGAUUGCCUCAGUAACGGCGAGUGAAGCGGCAAUAGCUCAAAUUUGAAAUCUGGCUCUUUCAGAGUCCGAGUUGUAAUUUGUAGAGGAUGCUUCGGCUUACGUCUCGGUCUAAGUUCCUUGGAACAGGACGUCACAGAGGGUGAGAAUCCCGUUUGUGGCCGCGACUUCCGCCAUGUGAAGCUCCUUCGACGAGUCGAGUUGUUUGGGAAUGCAGCUCUAAAUGGGAGGUAAAUUUCUUCUAAAGCUAAAUACCGGCCAGAGACCGAUAGCGCACAAGUAGAGUGAUCGAAAGAUGAAAAGCACUUUGGAAAGAGAGUUAAAAAGUACGUGAAAUUGUUGAAAGGGAAGCGCUUGCGACCAGACUUGCCCGCGGAUGCUCAACCGGUCCUUCGGCCGGUGCACUCUUCCGCGGUCAGGCCAGCAUCAGUUCGAGUAGUUAGAUAAAGGCUUAGGGAAUGUGGCUCUCUUCGGGGAGUGUUAUAGCCCUUUGUGCAAUAUAACUCACUUGGACUGAGGCCCGCGCUUCGGCUAGGAUGCUGGCGUAAUGGUCGUAAGCGGCCCGUCUUGAAACACGGACCAAGGAGUCUAACAUCUAUGCGAGUGUUUGGGUGUCAAACCCGUGCGCGAAAUGAAAGUGAACGGAGGUGGGAACCUUUGGGUGCACCAUCGACCGAUCCUGAUGUCUUCGGAUGGAUUUGAGUAAGAGCAUAGCUGUUGGGACCCGAAAGAUGGUGAACUAUGCCUGAAUAGGGUGAAGCCAGAGGAAACUCUGGUGGAGGCUCGCAGCGGUUCUGACGUGCAAAUCGAUCGUCAAAUUUGGGUAUAGGGGCGAAAGACUAAUCGAACCAUCUAGUAGCUGGUUCCUGC
rnacentral:misc_RNA from 1 species